rnacentral:rRNA from 1 species
AUACGUAGGUGGCAAGCGUUGUCCGGAAUUAUUGGGCGUAAAGCGCAUGUAGGCGGUUUGGUAAGUCGGUCGUGAAAAUGCGGUGCUUAACGCCGUAUGGCGAUCUAAACUGCUGAACUUUCGGGCAGGAGAGGAAAGGGGAACUCCCAGUGUAGCGGGUGAAUGCGUAGAUAUUGGGAAGAACACCGGUGGCGAAGGCGCCUUUCUGGACUGUGUCUGACGCUCAGAUGCGAAAGCCAGGGUAGCGAACGGGAUUAGAUACCCCGGUAGUCCUGGCCGUAAACGAUGGGUACUAGGUGUGGGAGGUAUCGACUCCUUCCGUGCCGGAGUUAACGCAAUAAGUACCCCGCCUGGGGAGUACGGCCGCAAGGCUUAAACUCAAAUGAAUUGACGGGG